rnacentral:SRP_RNA from 2 species
GGAGGCUGGUGGUGGACGCACCACUCGCCAACCGGGUCAGGUCCGAGAGGAAGCAGCCCUAACGAGGUUCCGGCGCGGGUCAUCGUGCCAGUCUCCCAC